rnacentral:rRNA from 1 species
UCCCUUAGAUGUCCGGGGCCGCACGCGCGCUACACUGAAGGAAUCAGCGUGGCUUUCUCCCUGACCCGAAAGGGUUGGGAAACCCGUUGAAUCUCCUUCGUGAUAGGGAUUGGGGCUUGAAAUUGUUCCCCAUGAACGAGGAAUUCCCAGUAAGCGCGAGUCAUAAGCUCGCGUUGAUUACGUCCCUGCCCUUUGUACACACCGCCCGUCGCUACUACCGAUUGAACGGUUUAGUGAGGGCCUCGGAUUGGUCUCGGCCCGCUCUUUACCGGGCGGCGCCGUUGGUCGAGAAGACGCUCGAACUUGAUCGUUUAGAGGAAGUAAAAGUCGUAACA